UACGGAGGGAGCUAGCGUUGUUCGGAAUUACUGGGCGUAAAGGGCGCGUAGGCGGCACGGCAAGUCGGGAGUGAAAGGCCUGGGCUCAACCGAGGAAUGGCUUUCGAGACUGCCGAGCUAGAGUGCGGAAGGGGCAACUGGAAUUCCCAGUGUAGCGGUGAAAUGCGUAGAUAUUGGGAAGAACACCGGAGGCGAAGGCGGGUUGCUGGGCCGACACUGACGCUGAGGCGCGCAAGCCAGGGGAGCAAACGGG
rnacentral:rRNA from 1 species